GGUCAACACAGAAGCUAUGGCCAACUUCAAAACCAGCUCACGCUCCCAAGUAUGAGCCACUUGCACGACUGGCUCUAUGUGGUCACGGCACAGCCAGCAAAGACUGCCGUGGUGAAUUUACCCUUCCUGGCAUGUGAGGAGAGGGCUCACGCUGUGAGGUGACAUGUGCAUGCAUUCCUGUCACCUGUGCCACUUACUAGUCAUUUAAGCUCAUUAUCUCUCUGAAGUUCGGUGCCCUCAACUCAAAAACGAGGGUCCCAGCAUCGAGGACUGAAAGUGAAAUCUGCACCGAGUGGUCAACAGAGUCCCCGUCACAUGGAGAGGGCUCAGUAAGCGUGAGCUGCCGACAGAACCACAGCCACGAAGUGUGAGCCUGAUCGGCCCCACCCGGACCUCGGAAACGGCACAGGUCUGUGAGGCAAAAUCACUGCUCUGCAGAGAUCGUAUGUGUGCAAAGAGUUUUCUUCUUCAGACGCACUGUGUUUUGUGCCGUUAAGAUACAACACGAUGCCCCAGCGUGCCGAGCCUCAGGAGGUCUGCUCCGUCCUGGUGACUCCAGCACCGCACGAAUCACACGGCUACGCAAACGGCCUUGGAAAGAGAUCAGAUCUUCCCAUUCUGACACGUACACACAACCUGUAAAUCUUGUAUUCUGAGUCGGCCCGAACAUAAGGGUUGCAGGUAGAAAUCUGAUACUCUGCGGCUCCGAGGUAAAGAGUACCCAUAUGUACCCAACACGAGGAACACGCAACCGCAGGACUGGAUCUACAUUAGACGUGCGGAGGACGAAGCUGGCAUCCAGAACCUGAAGCCACCUCUUCCCUUUGUUGUCUUGCUUCUGUUGUUCGGGGGUCUCCCCCAGAAUCUAGAACUUCACGCACCUAGACGCUUCAAAGAAGAACCACGCUUUUGGGCCACAGUCCAGGGAAAAAUACCAGUCCAAACUUCCUGAAAGCACAAAGCUGCCUCCUGCUGUGUACGUGUAGGAGAGGCUGAGACAAAACCCUCCCCUGCCGCACCCUCUGCAGACGGACCCGGGCUGUGUUCAGGACUCACAAGAGCAAAGGAUGAAACGGAGUCUUACAGUUUGGGAACAUUAACUGGUGACGUUGGAGGCUCACCCAAGAAAAGAGCUCCGACCUUAGAGCCCUGAAGACACGUAGCCCUUGGAGUUCACGUGGAAUUCGGCAGGAGUUGACCCAGGUCGUGUCCGUUGGCAAGGCUGAGAGAUUAGUCUGUGUGGAGGCACACAGAUGCCCGGACACAGUGCGGACUCCAGAGUAGAGCGCCAGACCCCGUAGUCCCAGGAAGGCACGCGUUUUCAGCAAAACUUUAAAUCUGCAACAGAGGGGACUUUAAACCAUGCUGCUAAAUAUCACUGGAAAAUGUACUAUGAGGUCUAAGUUAACAGAUCUCUAGCAGACUCUCCUGUGCUUGUGUCUGAUGCAUUUGCCCCGCAUCCAAUCAUACCUUCCUGUUAAAGCUCUGACGCUUUGCUUCUAGUGGUAGGAUUGAAGACGGGACAUAAAUUGUGCCACCUACCAUCAAAACAGAUUUUUGCAAAACCGAGGCUGAAUAAAGAUUUUAAACUCUGUACUCCAAGUGAAUUUCACGUCUUGAUUCCAUUCAAGCAAUUAUCGAGGAUCCAUUAGGCACGAUGGCUUAUUGACAGGAAUACGAACGCAGUGUUUGUAGCCCAAGCAGGCGGAGAAGGAAGAACGCGGAGGUAGAACACGGAGUUGGUGUCAGCAGCUUUCUUUCCACUCUGCCUUCUGGACAACCCCAUGUUUCCCUGAUGCCCCCAAGGAGCCCUUCCCUCCCUGAUGCCCUCCAAUGAAUGGACAAUGCAAGCGAUGGCCCCGUGACGUGGCCUGGUGGCCAGCAGCUGUUGGGAAACACCACCAGGAGGAUCAUUCCCUAUGAGACGAAGAGACAUGCUACCAUACAACAGGGGAAAACCGGGGGUGACGGGAGCCCGCUCCGAGCCCAGACGGAAGUGAAGAGGACGGCUUCGUGGGGAAGGGGGUAUUUCCACCAUCUCUGCAGGAGGGGCUGGCUGGCGCACUGACAGGUGCUCUGCAAACCCUUGCUGAGCUUUUACUGUGUGGUUCGUAACAAAGACGGACAUAAAUCCUGCUCCUUGCCUUUAUGCCUUCCACCCCACGAUCGCACACCCCCCAAAAUGAAUUCUACAUUUACGAUCCUAUCAGAGGCCACCAAUGGUUCACGUCCCAAGGUCAACAAUAGAAGGAGGAAGAGGCAGUAAAACUUAACGGGGCCCCAAUUUACUCACUUUCUGGGUGGUCACAGGUAUGUUGCUUAAACUGGAUAUCAGUUUUUAAUGGGCAUCCUAAGCCCUCAAAAUCUGGGGUUCGAAUUCAUGUCAGAACCUAAACACGACCACAGAGGAAUUCACGGUGGUAUCUGAAAACACUCUCCCCAACCAGAAAGUUCUAUGUAAGUUUUCAACUCCUCCUCGUACAGGGUACAUGUCAUAAGAACUACAUACUUUUUUUCCCUUUUGUAAAUGAUUCUUAAAUGCAUAAGCAAUAAAACAUUUUUAAAACACAAUUUAAAGAGUACACUUGGCAGACUAGAACGCCUUAAAAAAGCCUAUUUACUUUCUCCCCUAAACGUUCAAAUUGUUAAAAGGAAAACUGUAUUUUAUCAACACUUUAACAUACCAUUAAAAUCUCUCCUAUUUGACAGAUGAAGAUAAAAACACCCCAAAACUACGGAUGAAUUAUCAGGUCCCUAAUGAUUCCAAAACAAUUACAGGAUGCAGAGCAAUCUAGUUAAAUUUUAUUCAAAAGCUUACUACACUUGUGUUUUCUUUUAUUUUUCUAUCAAGAAACCCAUGAGGCUUAAGCACAAUUCAUUAUGUAUGAGACCCCACUUGCGGUGCUUGACUGUUGAUUAAUAGCAAAGUUUGCUGUAUGUACAUUUGCAACAUUAGAUGCAUACAAUAUGCUAACUUAUUCUUUCACUGAAACUAAUUAUUUACAAAAAUGACUACUUGAGACUACAAUUUAUUAAAUGCAUGCAUCCAGUCUCAAUUUGGCCCCAAAAGACAGCCUGGAAUGAAGAUCUUUUACUUGAUGUGACAACUUCUGGAAACGCUGUUAUUAAUAUUGUAAA